UACAGAGAGUGCAAGCGUUAAUCGGAAUUACUGGGCGUAAAGCGCACGUAGGUGGAUGUUUAAGUCGGAUGUGAAAGCCCUGAGCUUAACUCAGGAAUUGCAUUCGAUACUGGGCGUCUAGAGUAUAGUAGAGGGAAGUGGAAUUUCCGGUGUAGCGGUGAAAUGCGUAGAUAUCGGAAAGAACACCAGUGGCGAAAGCGGCUUCCUGGACUAAUACUGACACUUAGGUGCGAAAGCGUGGGGAGCAAACAGG
rnacentral:rRNA from 1 species